ensembl:lncRNA
CCAUGGCUGCAGCCCUAAAGAGACAAAAGACGAAAAAUAAAAAUAAAAAAAAUGAUGCACUGCAAAUAUUUCUUAAUACAGUGUUGUGACUUAUCACUACAUUGGAGGCAGGACUGGGACUAAGAUGAGGAAAAUUAGGUGCUGGCUUUGGGUACAAACUUUAAGCCCCACUCCCUGCCCCCAAUCUUAGUGAUCAAGAGAAAUUACAUUUUAAAGUAGUACUUUUUCAAAUAUAAAAAAUAAUCUAUCUAUGAUGAACAAAGCCUCAAAAUGUCCAUGAUGAAGAAAAUGCCAAAAUUUUAAAUAAAGAUUCCAUGCAGGACUCACUUCCCUCCCUCAUCCUAAUCCUGGUCCUGUCAAAUCCUGAUUACCCAGGGAUUUUUUUCUGGCACUGCCAUAAAGACCAAGACCAAGCAUCUCACCCACUUCACCCUAGUUCCGGCCCUAGCAUGAGGUCUUUUAGAAAUGAAUAUGCCACUCUUAACCAUCCUCUGUCCUCUUGUCUCCCUCCCUGUCAUGUCCAUAGCACUUCUGCAAAGCUAUGACAGCUAAAGGGGCAGCUUUUAGACAUCCUCAGGGGCCAGAGUCCCUUCGAAACUCCAGUUCCUGGCUGCUCUGUGCCCCAGAGAACUGGUGUCCUCACUCCAGAGAUAGAAAGGAUACAAUAAGACUCUGCUGAUUUAAUAUUACCUGAGGCCUGUGUUCUCUCACCAGCCCAUCAGCUCCAGAGGGAUUUGGCCCUCUGUGUUUACUCUCAUUAUAUCACCAGCUUCCACCACAGUUCCCAGAGCCUGGCAUGCAUCCAAAAAACACUUGUUGGAUAAACAAGGAGCUCCUCUGGAUCACAUGCAGAGGUGAAUAAAAGCAACACCCAAAAUAAAAGAAAAAGUUAAAGGCAGUUAGAGAAAUGAAUUAGUAGUGUUGCAUAAACUGUAAUAUAAAAGAAUCUGGAUUUAGAAAAUCCAAAUAGCUUAAAAAACAAAUCAGCAAACAUGGGUUUGGGACAUCCAUCUAAACCAGGAGCCCUUUGAGUAGGGAUCCAGUAGGGAAAUGGGCUUUGAAACCACAGAACCCUCAAAAGAUCACCAACUGUAUAUGCAUUUUUCAAAGUCUUCUUCAGAUUUGGUUAACAAGCACCGUUCUAGAAACAAAUGGCAGAGCUCAUCUCAGAAUGGACUCAAUAAGACAUUUUCCAGAAAAUAAAAUAUCACUAAUUACAAUGCAUCCCACUUCAACCUGGGGGACUUUAAAUCAAUCUAGGGGAUUUUCUGGUGGUACCAAUGAUAUUGCUCUUUAAACUCUCUUACUAUUCUCAAGCCAAGUAUACCUCUGCCCAUUAGUGUUCUAAAGUCAAUUAUUCAGCUCGUGUGUGACAACCUGGAGCCCUGCCAGAGAUGGAUAGCAAAAUCACAUCAACUACCAAAUGGUAAAGCACUUUACAAGCAGCCAUUGCCUCUGGCCAUCUACCAACUUCACAGCCCUUGGAGGACAAAUGUCUGCCUGUGACCUCUGACAAUGUUUUCUUUACUUGACUGUUAGUACAUUUUCCCCUCACCCGCUCUCCACUUUGCCGCCAGAGUUCCUGCACACUCAGACCUACAAGAAUUUCCAAGUAUAUAAGAUUUAAUGAUUGUAGGUACUGGCAGGAGUCUGGUCAUCUAACCCAAAGGUUUCCACACUGAACCAGUAGAUCAGCUGAAUGUCAAAUGGGUCGGAUGGAUUUUACUUCCAGCCCCUGCCACUGCUUCCACAUCACAUCAGAGAAAUACCAGUGUUCUGUGUAAUUAUUGAUUUAGGGAAAAAAAACUGUUUCCAUUAGAAGAAUGCACUCAUUUUGCAGAGGAAGACAACGCAUUAAGCCAUUAUAUUACUCAUGUUUCUUAGUAGCAUGAUAGAAAUGCAAGUCAGGCUGCUUAAGAGUUAAGGGACUUAUUAAUAAAAUUGGCUUAUUAAUAAAAUCGCAGGAUCUGGGGGCUUACUGACUUCAGGUAAGGCUGGAUCAAGGAUCUUCAGUACUGGUUCUAUCUCUGUCAUAAGGAUUGGCUCUCUACAUAUUACGGUACUUCUCAGCCUGGUUCUCACUGUGGCUGUCAGAGCUACCACAAGCCCCAGGCACUCGCCCCCAACACCUCAGAAGCUUCAACAGCUUAAUUGCUCAAUAUCCCCAAAUUAAAUCCUGAAAUUGAAUCUCAUUGUCCAGGUCUCUGUUCUAUGUCCAUAUUGUGGGCAGAAGGCAGGGAGCAUACUGAUUGGCCAAACCUGAGUAACAUGCCCACACCUAGAGCUAAAGCAUUAGACCAGCCUUACAAGCUGUAGGAACUGAGAGCAAAGGGCAAGUAUUUUCUCAGAGGAAACUCAGGGCACUCUUAACAGAAGAAAAGGAUGUAAAAUAACGAACAGUCUGAAAUAAACAAACAUACAGAAACUAGACGCCAGGAGUUCCCGUCAUGGCUCAGUGGUUAACAAAUUCAACUAGGAACCAUGAGGUUGCGGGUUCAAUCCCCGGCAUUGCCAGGGGGUUAAGGAUCCAGAGUUGCCGUGAGUUGUGGUGUAGGUCACAGACGCGGCUCGGAUCCUGCGUUGCUGUGGCUGUGGCAAGGCCGGCGGCUGCAACUCCAAUUAGACCCCUAGCCUGGGAACCUCCAUAUGCCACAGAUGUGGCCCUAGAAAAGACAAAAAAAAAACAAAAAAACUAGACCCCCAUUAUAAAUGGGAAGAUUAAAUGAUAUGCUCAAGCUCAAAGUCAAAUACAACUCAGGAGUAACAGAGACAGGAUAAAAACUUGAAUUUUCUUUCUUUUUUUUUUUUAAUGGAAUGUAUUUGACCUGUAUUUCCUCACCUCCAAGUUAGAUGAAUAUAUUCAUUUUCUAGGGCUGUCAUAAAAAAAUACCACCCACUGGGUGGCUUAAACAAUUGUGAGAAACCUAUUUUUUCACAAUUCUAGAGGCUAGAGGUCUGAAAUCAAAAUGUCAGCAGGGCUGGUUUCUUCUGAUGCCUUUCUUCUGAGGCCUCUCUCCUUAGCUUGCAGAUGGCCAUCUUCUCCCUUUGCCUUCCCAUGGCCUUCCUUCUGUGCAUGUCUGUGUCCUAAUCUCCUCCUCUUACAGGGACACCAGUCAUACAGGAUACAGUCCCACCCCAAUGACCUCAUUUUAAGUUACUUACUUACUGAAGGAACCCAGUCUCCAAAUACAGUCACAUUCUGAGGCACUGAGGGUUAGGACUUGAACAUUUAAAUGUGGAAGAAGGGCACACAAUUGCAUCCAAAUUGUGGGUUCAUAACCAAGCACACUGUAUGUAUUUUACAUAAAUGAAUGACAGUAAAUGCCCAAGAAGUGCUCUCACACAGAUAUGGGUAAGGAUGCACCCCUGCCCUGGCAAUAUGGGCCCAGGGGACAUACAUCUGCCUCUGGGCACUUUAGUGACUAUAUAUGUACCAAGACGACCUAAAUGGGUCAAGAAACUUUGUCGAUCACAGAUUUCACCAAUUAAAGAUUAUAUAAACUACACUUGCAGCAAUUCUAACAUUUUCUCCCAAGUAAACCACUGUAAAAAGUAGCAAGUUGCCCUGAAAUUUUUAUCAAAUAAGAUAAAUCUUUUACACCAUUUAUACAAAUGUCAGUUUCAACAUUAUCUUUUUCACACUCCUUAUGCAUAAAGCAAUAAGGAAUGGAAAGUACAGAGAUUAAUUUAGGUAACAAUUACCAUAAUUCACAAUUGCAUUAGCACCUAUUAAGGUUCAUUGUUCUGUGGAAAUUUUAAUGAUACAUUCCUGAGUGAAUAAAAGCAGAAGAUGAUUGGAAAUAAAAUUGUUUCUAUGUAUGCUGACAGGACUGCUGAGUGUAAUUAUACAUUUCCGAGGCGACCUGUUUGGAGUUUACUCCAUAAUUUUAUGUAAAUGUUAAAUAACUUCAUGUGUUCUUCCUCCCGGGUUAAAUGCUAAUUUGUGUUAUUCCAACAAGGGGUGUGCUGCAGGGUUAUUAACGGACUUGAUCUGCCAAUGAAGCUGGCUUCUGAAAAAUAGCUCUACACACUUCAAAACGAUAGAGGUGUCUUUGGUUUUUUCUUCAUUUUACAUCUUAUUGGUGGGCUGCCAAACGUUUAGUUCUGAAAACAGCUCUUUAUUCUCAAAAUCUGCAGCAAAAACCCAAGAAGUGAGAAAUUAUUCUCUUAAAUAUAAUCAAGUUCAUUCAUAGUGUCGGUUUGCAUCAACUUCCUCAGUCCCAAAAGAAAACAGGUAAAGAGAAAACCUUAAAAGACUCCUAGGUAUAAUCAUAUAAUAUGUAGAUAUACAUGGCUCUCUAUGUGCAGAUUUCUCCCAAUUCCUAGAUAGAAACGAAAGCAGAGCCAGCACAUAGUAGGUGCCUAAGUAUGUGCUGACUGUUGGAAAACUCCCAAACUUUAUAAAUACUCAUGAAACAAAUGAGAUAAAGUCUGAUCAAGCACAGUAGACCUGUUUUUGCCUCAGCAGAAAUGCUUGCCCUUAUUGCCCCAAACUAACAGAAAAUCAGAAAUGACACAGAUGGAAAGGGGGAAAGGUAUAAAAAGCGGCACAUUCAUUUCAAAGAGAUGAAAAAUAAUAGCACUUUUUCCUCCAAUUUCAUUCUCAGAUCCCAAUGUGAAACAAUCAAAAUGUUCUGCUUUAACACUGUAAGAUACAUUGGAGAGGAGGUUGCAAAAUAUUCGAAUCAUUUGCUUUGGCCUCUGAGUGCCACCAGGGAGGAAUUGUGCGCUGUGAGUUUUGAAGGAUCCCGUGCCGUCAUCUGGUAAGCAAACACACACAGUGAUUUCUCUCAAAGACAGACAAGGCAGAAACUAGUUCUGGUCACCCAUACUGCCCAACUCCCAGGCUCGUAUCCUCUCUUCCACACACAGUCCAACCCCGGGGUGACCAGGCUGUAAUAUCAUCCUUGUUUUUCCAGGGAUCAGUGUUGUGAGGUAAAAAGAACAGCAGUUAGGGGUUCAGAGGAGUUAGUGUGAGUCUCAGCUCUCUUGUCUGAAC